rnacentral:rRNA from 1 species
UACGGAGGGUGCGAGCGUUGUCCGGAAUCAUUGGGCGUAAAGGGCGCGUAGGUGGCCCGGUCAGUCUUUGUGGAAGACGCGGGGCUCAACCCUGCGUCGGCCAGGGAUACUGCCGCGGCUGGAGCACUGUAGAGGCAGGCGGAAUUCCGGGUGUAGCGGUGGAAUGCGUAGAGAUCCGGAAGAACACCGGUGGCGAAGGCGGCCUGCUGGGCAGUUUUGCUGACACUGAGGCGCGACAGCGUGGGGAGCAAACAGG